rnacentral:rRNA from 1 species
GAUGAACGCUGGCGGCGUGCCUAAUACAUGCAAGUCGAGCGAACGGACGAGAAGCUUGCUUCUCUGAUGUUAGCGGCGGACGGGUGAGUAACACGUGGAUAACCUACCUAUAAGACUGGGAUAACUUCGGGAAACCGGAGCUAAUACCGGAUAAUAUUUUGCACCGCAUGGUUCAAAAGUGAAAGACGGUCUUGCUGUCACUUAUAGAUGGAUCCGCGCUGCAUUAGCUAGUUGGUAGGGUAACGGCUUACCACGGCAACGAUGCAUAGCCGACCUGAGAGGGGGAUCGGCCACCCUGGAACUGGGACACGGUCCAGACUCCUACGGGAGGCAGCAGUAGGGAAUCUUCCGCAAUGGGCGAAAGCCUGACGGAGCAACGCCGCGUGAGUGAUGAAGGUCUUCGGAUCGUAAAACUCUGUUAUUAGGUAAGAACAUAUGUGUAAGUAACUGUGCACAUCGUGACGGUACCUAAUCAGAAAGCCACGGCUAACUACGUG